UACGUAGGGGGCAAGCGUUGUCCGGAAUUAUUGGGCGUAAAGCGCGCGCAGGCGGUCCUUUAAGUCUGAUGUGAAAGCCCACGGCUCAACCGUGGAGGGUCAUUGGAAACUGGGGGACUUGAGUGCAGGAGAGAAGAGUGGAAUUCCACGUGUAGCGGUGAAAUGCGUAGAUAUCUGGAGGAACACCGGUGGCGAAGGCGGCGAUCCUGGACCGAGAUUGACGCCUGAGGCGCGAAAGCCAGGGGAGCAAACGGG
rnacentral:rRNA from 1 species